UUUCUUUUUUUUUUCGAAAAACAGGGGAUCCGUCCCCUUUCUUCAUGAUUUCCGGCCAUUGGCCGAUCGCCGGCGGUCGAGAUUUUUAGGGAAGGAAGAGAGAGAGAUGGGGGUUCGGUCUCGGGGAUGGGACGCCGCAACCGGCGGCGCCGGUGGCCGAAAAAGAGAAGAGAGGAUCCGGCCGAAACAGAGCAAAACAAGGAUUACCUUGUUCAUGGAUUUUCCGACGAUCCUGACGGCCGGCGAGGAGUUUAAAAACAUGGGAAGAAAGGGAAGAGGGAGAGGAAGAAAGAUUGAACCCUUACCUGAACUCCGGUG
rnacentral:lncRNA from 1 species